GAGCCAGUGACGUGCGGGGGAUUGCUGUUCUGUACGGCCGUAAUUUCAAGCGUUUAAAUAAAAGAGAGAGAGAGAAGCCAAGGGAAAACCAAGUGAAAUCAAUAGCCAUGAAGAUCGUUCGGAGAGACCUAGUACCUAAUGGACCUGGCAGCGUUAAGAUGGUGGCAGUGGAUUCGGAUGAUCUCUGGUUUGCGUAUAACUUGAUAGCUCCCGGAGACUCUGUCAUGGCCGUUACUGUCAGGAAGGUUCUAAGAGAAGCUGCUAAUGGCGGACGGGAAGCAGAACGCGUCAAGCUCAAAUUGGAAAUUAAAGUCGAAGAGCUUUCUGAUUAUGACAAAGAAGGUUCUAUUUUGCGUGUACGUGGAAAGAACAUUUUGGAGAAUGAAUAUGUCAAGAUUGGAGCAUUUCAUACUUUAGAACUCGAACUGCAGCGGCCGUUUGUGCUCAGAAAGGAUGUUUGGGAUUCUUUGGCUUUGGAGGUACUACAGCAGGCCUCUGAUCCUGGUGCAAGUGCUGAUCUAGCAGUGGUGUUGAUGCAAGAAGGAUUAGCCCAUAUCCUCCUUGUUGGUAGAAGUAUGACUGUUACUCGUUCGCGGAUAGAAACAUCAAUUCCUCGCAAACAUGGGCCUGCAAUUGCUGGUUAUGAGAAAGCUUUGGAUAAGUUCUUUCAGAAUGUUUUGCAGGCUUUCUUGAAACAUAUAGAUUUCAAUGUGGUUCGUUGUGCUGUAAUUGCAAGUCCAGGAUUUACAAAGGAUCAGUUUCACCGUCACUUAUUUUUGGAAGCAGAACGAAGACAGUUGCGACCUAUUAUUGAAAACAAAUCCCGCAUCAUUCUUGUGCAUACAAGUUCAGGAUAUAAGCAUAGUUUAAAGGAGGUUUUGGAUGCUCCAAAUGUCAUGAGUUUGAUAAAAGAUACUAAAGCAGCACAAGAGGUUCGAGUUAUGAAGGAUUUCUACGACAUGCUUUCAAAUGUCAGAAAUCUAGGAAAUCCUGUUAAAUAUCUUUGGUGUGGAACAGGAUCCAUCACGUGCUUGUUAUGGAAUGAAACAUGUUGAGGUUGCCAAUGAACGACUAGCUGUACAAAUGCUUCUCAUUACGGAUGAGCUUUUCAGGAAUUCAGAUAUAGCAACAAGAAAAAAGUAUGUUAACUUGGUCAACUCUGUUAAGGAUUCAGGGGGCUCUGUCCAUGUAUUUUCGUCCAUGCAUGUCUCUGGAGAACAACUAGCCCAGAUAAGUGGCAUUGCUGCGAUUCUUCGGUUUCCUCUCCCUGAUCUUGAAGACAUUGAGAUGUGAUGGACAAUGUUGGUCAAGCAUGUUAAUGUUGGCCAUGGCUCUCUCUGUUUUUUACUAUUCUUAAAUACUCAGCUGAUGUUGCAAGUUGCAACAGUCCCUGAGUAAUCCUAGCGGUCUUGUAUUACAAACCACACAAUGCUAGUGUAAAAUUCAUAGUAUUACAUCAGACUUUAUUGAGUGGUUAAAUAUCUUUGUAUAUUUUCCCCUUAAAGUAAGUGUCUUUUUUAA